CCUACGGGAGGCAGCAGUAGGGAAUAUUGCUCAAUGGGGGAAACCCUGAAGCAGCAACGCCGCGUGGAGGAUGAAGGUUUUCGGAUUGUAAACUCCUUUUGUUAGAGAAGAUAAUGACGGUAUCUAAUGAAUAAGCACCUGCUAACUCCGUGCCAGCAGCCGCUGUAAUACGGAGGGUGCAAGCGUUACUCGGGAUCACUGGGCGGAAAGAGCGCGGAGGCGGGAUAGCAAGUCAGAUGUGAAAUCCUAUGGCUUAACCAUAGAACUGCAUUUGAAACUGUUAUUCUAGAGUAUGGGAGAGGUAGGUGGAAUUCUUGGUGUAGGGGUAAAAUCCGUAGAGAUCAAGAGGAAUACUCAUUGCGAAGGCGACCUGCUAGAACAUAACUGACGCUGAUGGGCGAAAGCGUGGGGAGCAAACAGGAUUAGAUACCCGAGUAGUC
rnacentral:rRNA from 1 species